AGCCCGGAGGUUGGCUAUGUGACCAGGCAACAUGCUGAGCCGGCUUCAGGAACUGCGCAAGGAGGAGGAGACGCUGCUGCGGUUGAAGGCAGCCCUGCACGACCAGCUGAACCGCCUCAAGGUUGAAGAAUUAGCCCUCCAAUCAAUGAUCAGUUCUAGAAGAGGGGAUGAGAUGCUGUCUUCUCACACUGUACCUGAACAGUCACAUGAUAUGUUGGUGCAUGUAGACAAUGAAGCAUCAAUCAACCAAACAACCCUGGAGCUGAGCACAAAGAGUCAUGUGACGGAAGAGGAGGAGGAGGAAGAGGAAGAAGAAUCAGAUUCCUAAAGGAGGGGGAAAGCCAGGCUGGUCAGUUAUACAAAUUGCAUUUCUAAGGCUCAGGCUACUUCUCCUCAAGGAAAUCAUCUUGCCCUGGGCCCUGUGAUCUGCUUGAAAGGAAAGCAAGAACUAUAAGGAGGAUGUGUAGUUGCAAAAAUGGCUCCAUCGGUAACUCAAGCUUCAGAAUGUUAUGACAUACAGAAAAUCAAAGAUGCUGUGUCUUAGCAUUGAGUAAUAUGGGUGGUGCUGUCUGUAAUCUGGUCAGAUUCAGUUAACUGUUCAGAACAAAAUUUCCUCUGAAAUACUGUUGAGAAAGUCUGUCAUUUGCAAAAAGAGCAGAGUUUAAAUACAAGCCAGUCUUUCCAGUCAACAAUGCCUCUUUGAAGAAAACCAAUUAAAGACUGUUUGCAUGCCGCUGAACCCUUGUGAGCAGUUAGGACACAGUCUAGGACAGAAAGAUGACAAGGGGAAGGACUGAGGGCCGUCUGAGAGCACAAGCUGUUUCUACCUCUCAGAGGCAUUGAAAUAUUGCAUGCUAUAAACUGCUUUGUGUAUCUGUUACCACCUCUCACUUGAGACAUCACUCACUGGUAAAAUGUUUUAUAAAUAAAUUUAUAAGUAGCCAUCAUGGAGCCUGCUGGUUUCUAGAUAGCGACAGAGAGAAGCAGCAGUUCCUUCUCUGAGGAAAAGAUACAACAGGAUGGUUUGAAAUCCAUUUCUGGUCCUUAAGAGAGAUGUGCCAUGCUUGGAAGACUGGAUUUUUUGUUUUGUUUUUUGUUUUGUUUUGUUUGAGACGGAGUUUCACUCUUAUUGCCCAGGCUGGAGUGCAAUGGCGCGAUUUUGGCUCACUGCAACCUCCCCUUCUCGGGUUCAAGUGAUUCUUCUGCCUCAGCCUCCAGAGUAGCUAGGAUUACAGGCAUGCACCACCACACCCGGCUAAUUUUGUAUUUUUAGUAAAGAUGGGAUUUUUCCAUGUUGGUCAGGCUGCUCUCGAACUCCCAACCUCAGGUUUUCCUCCCGCCUCGACCUCCCAAAGUGCUGGGAUUACACACGUGAGCCACUACACCAGGCCGGAAGACUGGAUUUUUGUUAACAGAUGACAGUUACAGAAUAAGAGUUUUUACUUAGUAUCUGAAGUUGAGGUUCAUUUCUGCAUACUGUCCCUUUUCCACUGACUACCAUGAAAUAAGUAGUUGCUUAAUUUUAUAAAAUUAAUUUCCCCUGCCCAAGCAACAGUAAAAGCCAAACAAAACACAAAGAAUCAUGUCAAGCAGAACUUAUGUAACAGUUCCCAAAGAAAACAAAGAAUACUUUUUUUGUUAAUCCACAUUUCAUUGAAGUUAUUUUGAGCUGCUUUUAGAGGAAACAGCCAGAAGUUUAAAUGAGCAUGUUCCUUAGAACACACAAUGGGAAGACAGUUUGGGAACAAAAAGCAUCAAGGUACAUAAAUUUUGGGGGUCUAAUUUAAAAUAUGAGCAUGAGUUUUAAAAGCUGGAAAACUUGACUAUGAAUUCCAGCUCUACCACAAACUGGUCACUUGUCUUCUCACCUCUUUGCAACUCACGUUCCCAUCUGUAAGGUGAAGAUACUCACAUCUGCUCUAGCAGUUUCACAGGUUGCUAUGAGGUGCUAAUGAGAUCAUUUAAAAAUCCAACUAUCAUUGGUAUCUCAGUAAGAAUCUGGCAUUGGGAGCUCAAAACACUGCAAGAUUCAUGCGGGGAUCAUAAUUCUUGGCUAAAAAUUAAAAAAAAAAAAUCUAAACACCCCUCAAAAGACACUGAGCAUGAAAGUGGUCAGAUCUAGGUUUUAGAUACCAGGUUAUAACAUUUCUUCUAAGGAUGUAGUAUUCUCAUUUUAAUGAAACAUUCUCAGUAGUGGUGGUAUCCUGUCAUUUGUAAAAGACACACAGUGUAAAUGUUAAAACCCAGCCUAAAUGUUUAUAUGUUGAAAAUGUAUAAGUUAAACUGUUGACUUAGAAAAGCUAUACUUCACAGUGAGAGAAAAAAAAGUUGACUAGCUUAGGCAGCAGUAUAUACAACACUGAUCAUUUUUUUAAAAUCCUGGCAAUAUCCCAAGCUCUGGUACCUCUAGAUUGGACUACCUACUUAGAAGAUUAUUUACCCAAGUUUUGUUUUUAAUCUAAAAAGGAAUGGGCCUUUUAUUUAUAAAUAUAUAUGUUGGCUUUAGUUUCUGUAACCUGCCCUUUCAAAGAAAAUAAUGAGCGGAGAGGUAUUGACCAGCAGCCUCAAAUGUACCUAAAAGAAGUUCCCAAUGGCUUUGUGACAUCACUGCCACCUCACAGGCAUGACAAAGCCAGCGCCAGGCACAUUCCUCCUUUCCAGGAAGGUGUGGUUAAGUGUAAGUGGUGAAAGAAGGGAAACCAUUGCUUAAUGUCGCAAAGGAGACAGACUGUCCUAUGUUGUGCAGAAAGCUCCCACACCAGGUGAAAUGCACAUCUGAACAGAGACAGGCAUGGGAAGGAGGCCCAAAAGCGACAUGGCAAACCACCGGGCAGGGGACUCGCUCUUUGUUGCUUCCCAAACACUUAGACGCCAGCAGCAUGGGUUGGUGUGCUGGGCUGGUUAAGGCCGAUGGUGGAGCAGAGCCAACCUGCAAAAUCCACUUCCUCAGCAUCAGAUCUCUUGAUAAAAGCAUGAAC